UACAACACUGCUGGGGUAAGGCCAAAACACGCACUGCACGACCGGUUACAACGACACAACUGGAGGGUACAACUCUAAACUGCGGACCAUGACGGCUUCAUCCCUUGGGCAAUCCUGGCUGGGCAUACUACUCGCGGGGCGAGUCUUCUCCCUGGACUGAGUGAUCUUCUAUCGGAAGGAGAAGGGCCAGCACCUCGUCCUUCAGAGUCCCGCCCGUGGGAGGGGUCUUGGGAACCACUCCAUCCGACACCUCGGAGUCCCUUUCUGAAGGUGGUGGUGUCGGGGUGGCAUCCGGGCU
rnacentral:lncRNA from 1 species